UUUUCUUUAAAAUGUUUGGCUGCGCUCCCUGCCAAAGCCGCGGAAACCAAGAGACCAAUAGGAAGUCUACUAAAUACCGGGAAACUUGAAACUCGGUGCUAAAAAGUCAGUGUGAAUACCUGAAAGACUGACUAGACCUAUGGAAGAUGGACGGAGAACUUCCAAAGUGUCUCCAGAAGAGACACAGGAAGAAAAGGUGAUCGGGGUGACAGAGUUGUGGAUCCAUGAAGAACAGAGUCUCCCUACCAACAAUGACUCAGAUGAAGAAAGUACUGACCGAGGGGAGGAAUUAAUGGAAUCUUAGCUGUCCCUGCCUAGUUGCUAUUUCUUGCUAAGUUGUCUGUGUAGAAAGCAUCUGCUACCGCUGAAGCAUAUUUGGGCAUUCUCUUUGACUGUUUAGCCACUUUGUGUUUCCCUGUAUGUUCACUUACCACUAUAUUCUGUUUCUGAAAACGGUAUAAAAAGUCUGAUUGUUCUCAAUAAAGUUUUCACAGCCUCAGUCUUGCUGUGGCCCCUCCAA